rnacentral:rRNA from 1 species
UACGUAGGUGGCAAGCGUUGUCCGGAUUUAUUGGGUUUAAAGGGUGCGUAGGCGGUCUUUUAAGUCAGUGCUGAAAUAUCCCGGCUUAACCGGGAGGGUGGCAUUGAUACUGAAGGACUUGAGUUCAGUCGAGGUAGGCGGAAUUGACGGUGUAGCGGUGAAAUGCUUAGAUAUCGUCAAGAACACCGAUAGUGUAGACAGCUUACUAGGUUGAAACUGACGCUGAGGCACGAAAGUGUGGGGAUCAAACAGG